rnacentral:rRNA from 1 species
AGGGGUAGUAGUCACGCUGCCAAGAAAAGCCGCGUACAGUGCUCGAAUAAUAUACAGACCGUUCUGAAAACCGACACAGGUGGGCAAGCUGAGAAGGCUAAAGGGAGCGGAAGAACCUCCGUUAAGGAACUAGGCAAAAUGACCUCGUAACUUCGGGAAAAGAGGUGCUCCUAAAGGUGUCAAAACCGGAAGGAGUUGCAGUGACAAGGCCCUGCCGACUGUUUACCAAAAACACAGGUCUAUGCGAAUUCGGAAAGAAGAAGUAUAUGGACUGACGCCUGCCCAGUGCUGGAAGGUUAAGGGGAGUGGUGCAAGCUACGAACCGAAGCCCCAGUAAACGGCGGCCGUAACUAUAACGGUCCUAAGGUAGCGAAAUUCCUUGUCGGGUAAGUUCCGACCUGCAUGAAUGGCGUAACGAGUUGGGCGCUGUCUCAACGGAGGAUCCGGUGAAAUUCCAGACUGGGUGAAGAUGCCCAGGACCCGCAGUUAGACGGAAAGACCCCAUGGAGUUUUACUGUAACUUGAUAUUGUAAUUUGUUGUUAUGUGUACAGGAUAGGUGGGAGGCUAAGAGUCAAGGUCGUCAGAUUUUGAGGAGCCGACGGUGGGAUACCACCCUCAUGAUAAUGGAUUACUAACUAUUGUGUAUGAAGAGUACAGAUAGGACAGUGUUAGGUGGGCAGUUUGACUGGGGCGGUCGCAUCCUAAAGAGUAUCGGAUGCGUGCGAAGGUAGGCUCAGGUUGGUUGGAAAUCAACCGUUGAGUGCAAGGGCAAAAGCCUGCCUGACUGCGAGACUGACAGGUCGAGCAGAAGCGAAAGCUGGUCCUAGUGACCCGGCCGAUCCGAGUGGAAGGGCGGUCGAUCAACGGAUAAAAGUUACCCUGGGGAUAACAGGCUAAUCACGCCCGAGAGUUCACAUCGACGGCGUGGGUUGGCACCUCGAUGUCGGCUCAUCGCAUCCUGGGGCUGAAGCAGGUCCCAAGGGUUGUGCUGUUCGCACAUUAAAGCGGUACGUGAGCUGGGUUCAGAACGUCGUAAGACAGUUCGGUCCCUAUCUGCUGUGGGUGAAGGAAGCUUGAAGGGAGUCGCUUCUAGUACGAGAGGACCGAAGUGAGUGUACCUCUGGUGAACCAGCUGUCAGGCCAAUGGCAGGAGCUGGGUAGCUAAGUACGUAACAGAUAACCGCUGAAAGCAUCUAAGCGGGAAACUGACCCUAAGAUGGAGCUUCCCAUUCGAAAGAAGUAAGGGUUGUUCGAGACUAGGACGUUGAU